AAAAAUUAAAAAUAAUUACAAAAAAAGACUAGGACUUUGCAUGGGGAAUGAGACUGUUUAUAUUAAGACAAUCUUUGGAGAUGAAAGUGAAGUUAGCUUUCUCUAAAACAUAGGGAAUGAAGGGGGCUAAAUGGAUACUUGAAUAAAAUCCUGCUUGUGUUCUAUUAAGAAAGUGAGGGGGGGGGGAUGGAUUCUGGGUAGGCAACCAACAAUGUUCAUUUACAAUCAGCGAUUGAUUUGUCAUAGUAGGACACACAGGUGAUGACACCCAAACGAAACUCAAUUAGUGUGAGGGAACUGGUAUUAGUGGGGAUUACAGUAAACAGAACUAAAAGAGGAAGCACAACUCAGCCCUAGUCAACAUGACCACAGAAUAUAAGAAUAUGAAGAUGCUAGAGUUUCAACAUUUUCAAGAGAAGUUGAUAAUCUGCAUUUUUAUGUCAAAUAUCCUAUUUUAAAUGUUGGAUUUUGUUUUUAACCACAAAGGACAGCCAAUACUGCCCAAAACAAACAAAGCUUAUCUGUUGACUAAAUACAGCCUGUGAAACUCUAGUUUACAAGCUUUAGGCUAGAAGAACCAUUGCUUGUCAUUUAGUGGUUCUCUGAAUGCAAGGCUUGCCAAUAGAAGAGCAGCCAAAGGAGGAAGGUGGGAGAAUCAGUGUCAUUAUCUCACACAAUACAUUUCAGCAGGUGGGUCUGAUGCCAGUAGGACCCCAGAGUUUUCCCUCAGGACCAGCCAAGAGGAUCCUUGGCUUCUCGAAGGAUGGAAAUCAAACUCUGAGCUAGCAGGGGGUGAGAGCAGAGUUUAUGAGGAUAUAAAGAGAGCAGAAACAGAUGGAGUAUCUGCAUAGGAGAUACCAGGAAACUCAGAAAGGAAAGGAGUAUGAAUCUUGUCUUUGUUUGGGGUCUGGGGGUUUUACUGGAGAUUAUGUAUGAUCUGGUGUAUGUGUCCUCUUGUGGUAGAGCCCCUCCCUAAGGGAUGUGGUGGAGGCCUCCUCAGAACAAAGUAAGGUAACGUGGCCCCAUCAACUCCUAUACACAUGUACAUAAAUGUGACAUGACUAUGUAACUUGGACUGUGUCCAAUCAGACUAUAUGUCACCCCAUAUGGGAGACAAGUAGAAAUUGCAUAAAAGGCUAUACCCUGCUGCGCUUGGGGCUCAGUUUUUGAGGUAAGAACCCACUGAGCUCAUGCUGGCAUGACAAAGUUGCUUCCCGGACAGAAAAGCCUGUGUCCUGUCUCUCUGUGCGAGAAUCUUGCUACACUCUUCAGGCAUCCAGGAACUAGUUAGAACAAGACAAGGUCUCAGGUGUUAUUCCUUGGAGCUAGGGGGUGUUGGUGUUCAGAUGUUUAGCUCUGGUGGUCUGGAAUACGUAUAUCAUAGCCUCUCCCAGUCAUUCUCACUCGGUCCUUCCUUAGUAGUUAUCUAUACUAGAGAAAUCCUUAACUCCUAGUCCCUUACAAGGAGUACAUAUGCUAUUUGCAUUACAAAGCAUAUGUAAAAUGGGAUGGGAUGCAGGUCCUAACAAGAAUAGAAGCAGAAAAUAAGCAAAAAGCAGAUUUUUAUGGAGUCCUUCAGUUUCCUUAUCUCAGGCCCCCAAACACAGUCCUUAGGCUUCUGCUUCACCUAGUAAAAUCUGAAUUCUUUUGGAGCCAGUUACUCCUUUCCUGACCAGGCAAACUAUUCUAAUAACCUGAACCGCAAACACUUGUUUACUUUCUCACUUCGUGCACAGGUAAGACCCUGUGGGUACAGGGACCAAAGUCUUCAUACUACUAGAAAUCCAACAUGGACUAGGUUUGAUCCUUUUUUCAAAGCUGCCUAAAUUCCACUGGGUCUUUUUCCCUUCCUUCCUUACUUUCUUAUUUUUUUAAAGAUACUGUAAGGAUAAGGCUAACUGUAGCCUUAAGAGAUAACAUCUUUGUUUUAACACUAUAGGUUAAGAGAUAACAGCCUUAUCCUAUCAAUCAAGGGAUGGAUUAGCCCUUGAUUGGAUUGGGGCAAGGGCCUGUUUGAACUGUUUCCACCUGGGAACUAGUCCUUUGUUCUGUUCCCAGGUGAUAAUAAUACGAUGUGGUCGGCUAUAAAAACAAGGUACCCUGGCUGUUCGAGACCACACUCUGGUCAAGAGCAUCGUCCUGAUCGAUCAGUUUGCCUUGCCUCUCAUUGCAAUAAACUUUGUUGUGACUGUCACUGGUGCCUGUAGCAUUCUGUUUCAGGAGUCGUGUGGAUACAACAUUUGGUGUGUUGGCCAGGAAAGUUAAAGGUCUGAAAGAGGGCCCUUUCCUCGGAUUGCUCCACUGACCCCUGGAAGGAGGCUCAGGAUUGGGAGAGCACAGGUUUUGCCACUUAAAGGCCGUCCACCUGAUAAGAAUUUUGACGGGACGAAGCGGCCGCCCCCUUUACCAUCUGCACCGGAGGAAGAAGAAGAAACUUGUAAAUGGCCCUAUAGUUCUCGAGCAGAGAAUACGAGGCAAGCCCAAGUCGGGACACUCCCCUGAGCCUGUCUCACACCCAGUCAGGAACCUCCUUCCAUCCCCCUCUCGCUGCCUUACUCCUUCGGCCAGGGCCACCCCUGCAGGGUGAUGUCCGACCCUUUAUGAUUUAUGUAUCCUUUUCCACUAGCGGCCUUUAUAACUGGAAGCUUCAAACCCCCCCCCCCCCCCGUUCUCAGAAAAACCCCAAGCAUUAAUUUCUCUCCUUGAAACUAUAUUUGUGACCCAUCAGCCAACCUGGGAUGACUGCCAGCUCUUGCAGGCUCUCUUCACUACCGAGGAAUGGGAUAAGAUCUGUACGUGAGGCCUGGAAAUUGGUGAUGGGGCCAAACGGGCAUCCCACCGAGGAUCCCGCCUUACUCAAGGAAGUCUUUCUUUCCUCGCACCCUGAAGAUUGGGAUCCAAACACUCCUCACGAAUGCCUGAGUGCCACCAAGGAACUCUUCAGUCUUCUGCAAAAACUGGGAUACUGAGUAUCAGCCAAAAUGUAGAUCUGUCUCACUGCGGUCACUCAUUUAGGUUACAACAUUAAAAAGGUACGUGCUAUCUCGGUGACUCUGUCUCAUACUAAAACUUGCAAACAAGUUCACGAGUUCCUGGGGGCAGCAGGCUACUGCAGACUAUGGAUACCUGGCUUUGCUGAACUGGCAGCCCCUUUGUAUGCCACUCUCAAGGGGUCUCCGGAGUCCCUCACAUGGGGGGAGACUCAAACUAAAGCCUUCCAAGCUUUGAGAGACUCUCAUGACCCCACCAGCCUUGGACCUGCCAGAUCCCACUAAGCCAUUCCAUCUGUUUGUAGCCCAGAAAGGGGGGGUAGCCAAGGGAGUUCUGACUCAGGCCACUGGUUGGCGCCAAGGUCCCAGGCACUAUUUAGCCAAAAGGCUAGACCCAGUUGCUUCCCGGUGGCCCACGUGUGUUCGACAGAUUGCUGCCACCAUGCUACUAGUAAAAGACGCAGAUAAACUAACCCUGGGACAGACGUUGUCUGUUACGGGGCCCCAUGAAGUGGAGGCCUUACUGCGGGCUCCCCCAGAACAGUGGCUAUCAAAUGCCCGGAUUACCCAGCAUCAGGCAUUGCUGCUCGACCAGCCCCAGAUACAUUUUUUGUGCCCCCGCAGCCUUAAACCCAGCUACUUUGCUGCCCGAAGGACUAGGUCCCCCUCUACAUUCUUGCCCAGAGACUUAGCGACAGUUUCGUCCCUGUGCUCUGAUCUCACAGACGUUCCCCUACAGGAUCCUGCUAUCAACAUGUUUUCAGACGGCAGUAGUUUUGUGUUUCAAGGGCAAAGGCAUGCCGGUGCUGCAGUUACCACAGACCGCGAGGUUCUAUGGCAACAGACCCUUCCCCUGGGAACCUCAGCCCAGCUCGCAGAACUCAUCGUGCUAACUAAAGCCCUGAAACUUGGGUAAAAACAAGUCUUUGCAACUAAUGACUUUGCAACUGUGCAUGUACACGGUCCAUCUAUCAAGAGCGCGACCUCCUCACAGCAGAGGGCAAGGACAUCAAAAAUAAAGCCGAAAUUCUACACCUUCUAACAGCCAUCUGGGAACCUGCGAGACUCCUGAUCAUUCAGGAAGUAUGAUACCAGGACGAAAGUGGGUUCAGGAUCCUGAAGGUAAGAUACUCUUACCUGUUGUACUUGGGCGACGCAUGGUGUGUCUGCUCCACCAAGGGACUCAUCUGGGAAAAACAAAGAUGGCAGAAUUGGUGCAGAAAAAGUUCAGGGUGCAAGGGCUGGGAAAAGAGAUUGAGAAGACGGUUGAAAGAUGUGUAAGUUGCGCCCAAGUAAAUCAGGGUGCAAAUAAGGUUUCAGAAGCUAAAAGAGAUAGAGGAACUGAGCCAGGCCGGUUUUGGGAAGUGGAUUUUACUGAAAUUAAACCAGGGAAAUACAGAGACAAAUAUCUGCUUGUUUUUGUGGACACCUUUUCCAGGUGGGUUGAGGUGUUCCCCACUAAAUCAGAAAUGGCUCAGGUGACAGUUAAAAAAAAAAUUAUUAAAUGAACUAAUGCCUAGAUUCAGGCUGCCUCUGAGCAUAGGACUGGACAAUGGCCUAGCCUUCAGGGCACAGGUAUCGCAGGGUCUAGCCAGAGCAUUGGGAAUAAAUUGGAAAUUACAUUGUGCAUUAUAGACCCCAGAGCUCGGGUCAAGUCGAAAGGAUGACUCAGACUCUAAAGGAGACCUUAACCAAAUUGUCCCUUGAGACUGGCGAAAAUUGGCAAAAUGUUUUGCCUUUUGCCCUUUUGCGAGCACGUUGUACUCCAUUUCUCAAGGGAUUGUCCCCUUACAAAAUCUUAUUUGGCAGACCUUGCCAAGGCUAGGGGACGACAUAAAGGAACAGCUAGAACAGGACCACUUGUUGGCUUCACUCUUGGCCCUGCAUCUUGUACAAAAGGAAAUAACCAAGGCCUUGAAAGAAGCCUUUGCCCAUCCUCCUGUACUUCCCCACCCUUUGAACCAGGAGACUUAGUUUGGGUCAAGAGGUAUGAACCUAAAACCCUGGAGCCACGCUGGAAAGGACCACACACCGUGAUCCUGACUACACCAACGGCUGUGAAGAUAGACGGUGUCCGAACCUGGAUUCAUCACUUUCAGGUUAAGAAAAACUGCACGGAGGCGGAAACACCCAGGACUGAUACGGGACCAGAGAACGAACAGUGACGGAAGGUCAAAAAGCACCCAGAGGAUCCUUUAAAGAUAAGACUGAUGCGGGAAUAACCGUUGUCUGGGUUUGUAUAAUAAGCUUGGGAGACUGUGCAGAACUGCACCCCUUGUCUUAUUGGCCAUACCUGUGACCCUGUCACAGGGAAGGUGGUAACAUCUAAAGCCUCGAGUACUAUGCUUUGUUUCUUGUUCGACCUAUGUGACCUGGUAGAAGAAUGGGGGUUGCAAACCUGGGCAAGAGCUCUCAGGAACAUUGGGGAGAACAAUUGUGGAUGAGGAAAUAGGGCACUAGAGCGAAAUUUGGCUAAGAUGCAGAUAGAAAAAAUGGGAAGGAGAGGGUUAAUACCACGGUGCCAAGUGGGGUUGUGAGAUGCUAGCCCCCUGGUUAACAGGACAGGACCUUGACCCCCUAAUUACUCUUAGAACCCCGAACCCCCAAUGUGCGGCCCAAGGAAAAUGUAACCCAACACCAGCUCAUCUAUUUUCUCAUCAUUCUGAGAUACUGGCACACUUGGGGCCUCCGAAUGUAUGAUGUCAUUGUGCACUUGGGGUUCACGACCAAUUUUAACCCUACAGGGACCUCCAAGGGCAGGGUUGGUGCAUAGUGUCUCAUGCCAACAAUUCCAGAGUAAUUCGAGACACUGAGUUUAGUAAGGAACAAUCUUAGAGCCAGGGAACAUGCCAGGGAGGCCAGCAAUAAUUAGUAUCACCCUUGGUCUGCCUGGCUCACAUCGCUGCUCCCCACCAUAGCUGGGCCACUGCUAUUGUUACUUCUCGGGUUAACUAUCGGCCCAUGCACUAUCAAUUGGUUAGUACAGUAUGUCAAGAGGUGAGUUGGUGAAAUAAAAAUUUAUGAUUAGGUCCCACUAUGUUGGCUUAGUUCCUAAUGAUGAAUCAAGGGAUUGAUUCCCGGACAAGAAAAGGGAAAUGUAAGGAUAGGGCUAACCUGUAGCCUUAAGAGAUAACAUCUAUUGUUUUAACUCUGUAGGUUAAGAGAUAACAGCCUUAUCCUGUCAAUCAAGGGAUGGAUUAGCGCUUGAUUGGAUUGGGGCAAGGGCCUGUUUGAACUGUUUCCACCUGGGAACUAUUCCUUUGUUCUGUUCCCAGGUGAUAAUAAUACGAUGUGGUUGGCUAUAAAAACAAUGUACCCUGGCUGUUCGAGACUGCACUCUGGUCAGGAGUGUCGGUCCUGAUGGAUCGUUUUGCCUUGCCUCUCCUUGCAAUAAACUGAACGUCUCUGGUGCCCGUA